ensembl:lncRNA
AAACUGUUUGAUUUUGGGGUCCAAUGGGGGAUUUUUGAAGAGCAAAAGUGUGAUUUUCGAGUUAAAUGGGGGAUUUUCCAAGAGAAAAUGCGUGAUUUUGGGGAUGAUGGGGUAUUUUUGAAGAGAUAAAGCAUGAUUUGGGGGUAAAUGCGGGAUUUUCCAAGAGAAAAGGGGAGAUUUUCGGGUUACAUGGGGGAUUGUUGAAGGGAAAAUGUGUGAUUUUCAGUUAAAUCGCGGCAUCUCUAAGAGAAAAUGCCUGAUGUUUGCAUUAAAUGUGUGAUUUUCAGGUUACAUGGGAGAUUUUUGAGGAGAAAAUGCGUGAUUUUCGGGAUAAAUGAGGGAUUCUUGAAGAGAAAAUGCGUGAUUUUCGGGUUAAAUGGGGGAUUCUGGAAGAGAAAUGGCAUUUUCUUCUGGUUAAAUGGGGGAUUUUCGAAGAGAAAAUGCACGAUUUUCGUUUACAGGUGAGAUUUUUGUAGAGGAAAUGCGUGAUUUUUUGGAUACAUGGGGGAUUCCUGUAGCAAAACUGUUUGAUUUUGGGGUCCAAUGGGGGAUUUUUGAAGAGCAAAAGUGUGAUUUUCGAGUUAAAUGGGGGAUUUUCCAAGAGAAAAUGCGUGAUUUUGGGGAUGAUGGUGUAUUUUUGAAGAGAUAAAGCAUGAUUUUGGGGUAAAAGCGUAUUUUCCGAGAGAAAAGGCGAGAUUUUGGGGUUAAAAGGGGGAUUGUUGAAGGGAA